rnacentral:rRNA from 1 species
CAGCAGCCACGGUAAUACGUAGGUGGCAAGCGUUGUCCGGAAUUAUUGGGCGUAAAGGGCUCGCAGGCGGUUUCUUAAGUCUGAUGUGAAAGCCCCCGGCUCAACCGGGGAGGGUCAUUGGAAACUGGGAAACUUGAGUGCAGAAGAGGAGAGUGGAAUUCCACGUGUAGCGGUGAAAUGCGUAGAGAUGUGGAGGAACGCCAGUGGCGAAGGCGACUCUCUGGUCUGUAACUGACGCUGAGAGACGAAAGCUAGGGGAGCAAAUGGGAUUAGAGACCCCUGUAGUCCCUGUCUCUUAUAC